rnacentral:rRNA from 1 species
GACGAACGCUGGCGGCGUGCUUAACACAUGCAAGUCGAGCGGAGCGGCGAACGGGUGAGUAACGCGUGAGUAACUGCCCACCUCCCUGGGAUAACAGUUGGAAACGGGUGCCAAUACCGGAUAGUGGGGGAUGACUCGCGUCCUAUCAGCUUGUUGGUGGGGUAGGGGCAUACCAAGGCGACGACGGGUAGCCGGCCUGGGCGGGGGACCGGCCACAUUGGGCUGAGGGACGGCCCAAAGGCCAACUGGAGGCAGCAGUGGGGAAUAUUGCACAAUGGGGCAGACCCUGAGGCAGCAGCGCCGCGUGCGGGAUGUCGGCUCUCGGGUUGUAAACCGCUUUCAGCCAUGACGCGGUAGUGGCAGAAGAAGCACCGGCUAACUACGUGCCAGCAGCCGCGGUAAUUC